UCCCGGCAGUCCAAGUCGCAACCACUAUUACUGGGUCUAAGACAUCCGUAGCUCGCAUAGUAAGUCUCUUGUGAAAUCGGGCAUCUUAAGUGUCCGUCGUGCAAGAGAUACUGCUUUGCUAGAGACUGGGGGACGUAAGGAGUACGAUUGAGGUAGUGGUUAAAUACGUUAAUCUCGAUCGGACUAACAACAGCGAAGGCACCUUACGAUUACAGUUCUGACAGUAAGGGAUGAAGGCUAGGGGCGCAAAAUGG
rnacentral:rRNA from 1 species